UACAGAGGUCCCAAGCGUUGUUCGGAUUCAUUGGGCGUAAAGGGUGCGUAGGCGGCGCGGUAAGUCGGGGUGUGAAAUCUCGGGGCUUAACUCCGAAACUGCAUUCGAUACUGCCGUGCUUGAGGACUGGAGAGGAGACUGGAAUUUACGGUGUAGCGGUGAAAUGCGUAGAUAUCAGGAGGAACACCUAUUGCGAAGGCAGCUCGCUGGGACGUAACUGACGCUGAGACGCGAAAGCGUGGGGGAGCAAACAGG
rnacentral:rRNA from 1 species